AUUGAACGCUGGCGGCAGGCCUAACACAUGCAAGUCGAACGGUAGCACAGAGAGCUUGCUCUCGGGUGACGAGUGGCGGACGGGUGAGUAAUGUCUGGGAAACUGCCUGAUGGAGGGGGAUAACUACUGGAAACGGUAGCUAAUACCGCAUAACGUCGCAAGACCAAAGAGGGGGACCUUCGGGCCUCUUGCCAUCCGAUGUGCCCAGAUGGGAUUAGCUAGUAGGUGGGGUAACGGCUCACCUAGGCGACGAUCCCUAGCUGGUCUGAGAGGAUGACCAGCCACACUGGAACUGAGACACGGUCCAGACUCCUACGGGAGGCAGCAGUGGGGAAUAUUGCACAAUGGGCGCAAGCCUGAUGCAGCCAUGCCGCGUGUAUGAAGAAGGCCUUCGGGUUGUAAAGUACUUUCAGCGGGGAGGAAGGCGAUAAGGUUAAUAACCUUGUCGAUUGACGUUACCCGCAGAAGAAGCACCGGCUAACUCCGUG
rnacentral:rRNA from 1 species